ensembl:lncRNA
CGAAUCUUAAUCAGCUUGAGAAGGAAAAAAACCUUCAAAUCCUCAUUUUCAAGUUCAAGAUGUCUAAAAAGGUGUCAACUGGUUCGGCUAAAGCUCUGCCUCUUGGUGGGAAGUCCAGAAGAUGUUUUUAAGUGUAAUUUAAAUUCAUGCUUUCGAACCAUCGCACGAACCUUUCAGCUUCUGCGCGUCUUUUACCCGAAAAUACGAGCUCGCGCAUCGUCGCUGACAUCCGUCUGCAGGCUGCGAGACAGAGACGGUGCCAGUUUCCCCACCUCCACCUCCACCUCCACCCCCUCCCUCCUCCCUCUGCGACGGAGGAGGCGGCGCUGUAGUCCGCGUCCGGGUGUGGACGGCGCGGCCCGAAGCGCGGCGCUCCGCCCCAUCGAACUCAAGUACCCAGAAGCCACCGCGACCGCCCCAACUUACAGAACUGGCUUCUUGGGUUUCGGGAGUGUUUCCCAUUUAAACAAACAGUGGCGAAGAUGGCGGAGAGUUAAUGGUGUAAAGAAGAAAUUAUCGACCCGGCCACAGCGAGACGUCCACGAGACUCCAUCGACCAGCCCACAUAGGACCACGCCCCCCUCCCACCUCAGCAUCCCCCCCCGCCCCAGAGAGAAGGGAGAGGGGAUCCGAUCGUCCAUCAUCUCGGGCGCCUUCACAAGGUGGGCUCACAUCCCACGCGGUUGGCAUGGUAACGGCCCGCUCGGUUUAGGCCCGAGCAGUUUGCUCGGUGUCUUGUUGUUGCCACAUUGUUGCGACAUCCUCCCGACCCGAACGCGCCGAAGCGCUUCGUGUUCUCCCGAGCUCCGCGGUUGGAGGUCCGGGACCUUCGGGGGGGGAAAAAGGUGGUGCAGCUUUUGGCCGAGCGAGCGGCGGGCGAUGGAGGCGGCGGUGGGAGACGAGGAGGAAAACAAAGAGGGUUGAGCGGGUGAUUUUCAGGCAGAUGAGAAAAGGAGAGUGGGAAGACGGCGGGGAGGCAGGAGGAGAAAUCAAAUUAUUCUUUGUGCUCUACCUGCCACAGAGGCUGAAAGAGAGCAUUCAUCUUUCACCCCGGUCUGCAGGUGACAACAACACACACACACACACACACACACACACACACACACACACACACACGUUUCUAAAUGGUCCCAGACUUAACCUAACCGCACUUCUCUCUUUCGUUCACAUGCCGUUAAAGGCAUUGUGGAGGAGGGGAGAUGAGUCCAGUCCGGAUAUUGGGGAUGGUGAUGAUGAGGAAGAGUACCGGAGAGGACAAGCCAACCCUGCUGGGUUAAAACAACCUUAAAUGGGCCGUAUCGGACCGGGCUUUCCUACUUAUCCGCCAUAAAGCCGUGGAGCUCCUUGUUUGAGGACUCGUGGCGUAGCCGUUUUGUCAACAGAGAUUAUGAAACGGCGGCUGGCGGGCGGGGCGGGGCGACUAUUUGCAUCCCUCCCGCCCCCGCUGACUCUGUCACCUCCACUGGUCUACCAACCAGCAAGCCCCCCCCCCCCCCCCCCCCCCCCACAGCCGCCCACCCGCCCCCAGACGUAUGAAAGAAACACACAAGUGUCGGGGCAGCCGGAGCCGCAGUUCUGCCUCCUCAGCGUUGGAGAGACGCUGAGUGAACAAACUCCUCCAACUCAUUUUUCCUGCACGAGUCGUCUGUCCUCAAUAACUCUUUCAGACGUGUUCUUGUUUGUUGCACGAGGGCUUUUUUUUUUUCUGCUUCUGACUCACUCCGUCGUGGGAAGUCUGCCGUCUCUUCACUUUGUCUCGCAAAAGCGUUUUUGGCCCUCUUUGCCUUCAGAUUUUUAGAUGCCGUAUUCUGCUCCUCAAGAGUUGGCGACGCUCAUCUAUAUAUCUAAAUAUCUCUCAUCUUGUUAAGCAUGCAAGAUAUGCAACAUGUUGUUUCAGAUAAGACACAUGAAAGAAAUACGCACACUGGAGGAACUGCACAAUUUCAAAAACGUUUUCCUUCCGCUCAAAAACUAAAAACAUUUCUAUUUCAGUUUUUCAAAUGAUGGAAAACAAAUGUUAUCUCAUUGGUAUGAAAUUAAUAAUAAAAUCCGUGAAAUGAAUAGUUAGUAUUUCGUCGACAAACUACACACUUGUUCAGGGUUAUUGUUGGAAACAAUGAGAUCUCCACACAUUUUUUUGUGAUAUUUUCUAUGUAUCUCAUUUCUACAAAACAAAGACGAUCGUGACUUCAUGCAAACAAUGUUCAGCAAAAUGCUUUACAUACAACAUAAGAACAAAUUACUAUGAGACGUCGUGCCAAAUCUUGCAGAAGCUUCGUCUAAUAUCUGGAUGAACCCAUGUGGAACAUUUUAUAUAAAAUACAUUUUUGUCUGACUACAAUCGGGGAGCCGGCCAGUCGACUUACAUUCAUCAAGUCUGAAAAGGGCUUUAGAUAAAUAUUUAUAUUUCCUGUAAGAGGAAACCAUGAAUAUUUCCAGUAUGUGUCAUAGAAAAGUGAUUUGUUUGAUUGGGUCGCAUGCUUUCGGUUUGACGGGGUGAACUGUUGGGGUCGGUGCCUGGUGGCGGGGGGGGGUCCCCGGCAGCCCGCCGUCACGUAGCAGACCUGAAGAGUUCGGCGUGGCCACAUGUGACGCCGCAGCACCGCUGACCCGAGUCCUCCUCCCUGUCUAAUGACCCGGAAAAUACUGGGGCGAGGGGGGGGUCGAAAUCGGGGGGGUCGAGAUCCGGGUCAGACGUCUUGUGAAGGACCCGAAGCUGUUUACCUGCAUGGGCGCACUCACCUGUGCACGUCAGACGUCCUGUUUUUCUUUUUGAUUCUCCAGCCGAGCCUCAAGAAGCAGCCGCUCCUUUUUGAUUAACGGCUUCCCGCCGGUACGUUUGACUCUGAUUUAAUACCCGCGAGUCAUCUUCAACCGAAGGAUUUAGACUUAUUGAACGCGCAGCUGAUCGGGACCCUGUAGCGCAUUCGUUUGUGCCUCGGCCGAUUGAUCGUGAGCGGUUUCAUGGCCGUCUGCCAUGAACGGCCGCUUCCUUCUCUCAUUUAUGUUUGACUACGAGGCCUUUUGUUUGGUUUGUAGUCGGUGGGCAGCUUUCUACUCUUGCCUCACACCGACCUCUCCCUCGGGUUCGCCAUCUACCCCCCCCCUCGCCGCCCUCCAUCCUGCCGUUGCCCUCUUUAAUGUCGCUCAUUCCCCGCUGCUAUAUUGUGCCCACCGACCGCCUCGCCGCCACCAGGCCCCCGCGCCGCCUGUGGCGUGUAAUUGACUUUUCUCCCUGCUCGGGAAAAGCGGGGCGGCCCGCGCCGCGCUGGAGGUGACCCAUUUCCCCGGGGCAUUCAGCGGCCUCCUAAUCAACCAUUCUCCGGGGCCGCCUCAUUCACUCCGCAAUUAGAGCAACUCCCCCCCCCCCUUUGAGGACUCCCAUCAAUAGGCCGCCGGGGCGGGCGGGCUGAAUUGUCGGAGGAGCAGAGACGGAGUUUCACUCCCAACACUUUUGAGUUCUGAACCCUCAGACUUUGUACCCCUCCACCCCCGUACCCUCCCUGCCCCUCUGCUUUUUUACCUCGUCUCCCCCGUGGUUGGUUUCGUCAGGUAGACGGGCGGACGGGCGAGAGAAGACGCAGGUAGGCGAGCGGACAACGAGGUGGACGGCACUCGAGGGAGAGAUUAAGGGGGAGAUUUUGGAGGGAUCGAGCGGGAAGAUCGGCUCGUGUUUAGAGCAUCUCUCUGUUUUGGGGCGCCCCCCCCCCCCCCCCACUGACAGCCCUCACGUUGGUUCUGUCUCAGGAAGGAGGCGCGUUGGAGCCGGGAUGCGAUCCAACAGCCGCACGACUGAAGAUUACGACGCAAUCAGGCGAUUUUUUUUCUCGCGAGCAGCUCUGAUCCCGCAAGAAGGAGCGUGCCAUGAUGGCGCGCUGUGAUUAAAUAACGGGCCGGCUCCCCCCUCCACCCCCCCCGUUGGCCUGAUUUCACUAUGCAGGGGAGGCGUGCUCUGGUCAAAAGGAUAACCAUGUAAUCAAUGGAAUGAAAAAGCCGCUCCGGCUGUGAAGGUUAAGAGGGGUACUGGAAGCUUUCAGCUCCACUUUGUGCGGCACGCAUGCAUUCAAAGCGCACACCAGACAGUCUGAAUGUUACAUCUCCUCCUCUUAAUUCCUCCCCUCCUCCUCUCACCUGUCCCCCCCCCCCUUCCCUCCGGUCUUUCUUUGACAUGCCUUUAUCUCCCUUUCCCUCAGCUCGCCCCCUCUGCCUCCGCCUCUUUUCGCUCUGAUUCCCCCCUCUGUAUUUUUUAGUUCCUCUGCAUUCACGCUGUAUAUUCUGUCUCCCACUAUUUGUGCUCUCUCCCCCCCCCCCCUCCUCCCUUCAUUUACUUUCCUCUCUUCCCUCCCUUCCUCCCACCUCCCUUUCCCCAGUGUCAGCUGCUGUCACUGUGGAAAAGAAAGUGACCAAUCACAGCUCGCUUCACAGCACCAGCCUUGCCCUCCUUCCCUUAUUUCCUCUGUUCCUUCCCUUCAAUCUGUCCUCCUCCUCCUCCUCCUCGCUUCCUUUCGUCCCAUCUGCCUCUCUUCCCUACAACCUCCAUCAGAUCACUUCCUGGAGACGCAAUGUGAUGCAUUAUGGGAGACAGACGGCUGUCUAACGGGGUUAGUUGUGCAGCGAGGCUUAUCAUCAGAGACACUGCUAAUCCUGUGCGUGUGUGUGUGUGUGUGUGUUUGCGUGCGCACAAUAUGAGCUGAUGAACUAACGCACAGGCCCACACACACACAAACAAACACAAUCUCACAUGCUUACUCUUUCUUUUUUUUCUUUGAUGAGGAGGAGGAGGAGGCAGACGAGACAUGUUUAUGUUCGUCAGUCUCUGGCAGGAGAAUACGCUUUGCAUCAUAUAAGCAUAUUUUACUGCCGUGUUCUGUUUUGCACUGUAUCCACUUUGCAGGCUGCAGCGCUAUCGCAGAUUUCUGCUGAGUUGAAAAGGACGAUUCCCACGUCUUCUUCCCCUUCACAAUGACGUGUAUAAUAAGAGCUAAAAGGCUAAAAGCGACUAUAUAAUCCCCCUUGUGCCGGUAUUAAAGCCUUAUUUACACCGGCGUGUGCGCGU